rnacentral:rRNA from 1 species
UACGAAGGGGGGCUAGCGUUGCUCGGAAUUACUGGGCGUAAAGCGCACGUAGGCGGCUUUCUAAGUCGGGGGUGAAAUCCUGGAGCUCAACUCCAGAACUGCCUUCGAUACUGGAGAGCUUGAGUCCGGGAGAGGUGAGUGGAACUGCGAGUGUAGAGGUGAAAUUCGUAGAUAUUCGCAAGAACACCAGUGGCGAAGGCGGCUCACUGGCCCGGUACUGACGCUGAGGUGCGAAAGCGUGGGGAGCAAACAGG